rnacentral:rRNA from 1 species
GUAGGUGGCAAGCGUUGUCCGGAAUUAUUGGGCGUAAAGCGCGCGCAGGCGGUUCGUUUAAGUCUGAUGUGAAAGCCCACGGGCUCAACCGUGGAGGGUCAUUGGAAACUGGAGAACUUGAGUACAGAAGAGGAAAGCGGAAUUCCACGUGUAGCGGUGAAAUGCGUUGAGAUGUGGAGGAACACCAGUGGCGAAGGCGGCUUUCUGGUCUGUAACUGACGCCGAGGCGCGAAAGCGUGGGGAGCAAACAGGAUUAGAUACCCUGGUAGUCCACGCCGUAAACGAUGAGUGCUAAGUGUUAGGGGGUUUCCGCCCCUUAGUGCUGCAGCUAACGCAUUAAGCACUCCGCCUGGGGAGUACGGCCGCAAAGGCUG